GCCCCACAACAGGCGCCACCUCCAAGAGGUGUGGGGUGGGCAACUGCCUCUUUCGAGGCAGGCUAAGCGCGUCA
rnacentral:ribozyme from 1 species